rnacentral:rRNA from 1 species
GGUGACCAGCGGAGGGAUCAUUAAAGAGUUCUAUAACUCCCAAACCCAUGUGAACAUACCUAACGUUGCCUCGGCAGGUCGCACCUACCUUGUAGCACCCUACCCUGUAGGGCCUACCCGGGAGGUGCGGGUAAGCCUGCCGGCGGCCCACCAAACUCUGUUUGAUAUUGAAUUCUGAACCUAUAACUAAAUAAGUUAAAACUUUCAACAACGGAUCUCUUGGUUCUGGCAUCGAUGAAGAACGCAGCGAAAUGCGAUAAGUAAUGUGAAUUGCAGAAUUCAGUGAAUCAUCGAAUCUUUGAACGCAUAUUGCGCCCAUUAGUAUUCUAGUGGGCAGGACCGUUCGAGCGUCAUUUCAACCCUUAAGCCUUCGUUGCUUAGUGUUGGGAGCCUACGGCAACGUAGCUCCUCAAAGUUAGUGGCGGAGUUGGUUCACACUCUAGACGUAGUAAUUUUUUUAUCUCGCCUAUUAGUUGGACUAAUCCCCUGCCGUAAAACCCCCAAUUUAUCAAGGUUGACCUCGAAUCGGUUCAGACAAACUCGCUAAAUUGAAGCAUCUUAGUCAGCGAAGGAAAAGAAACCAACAGGGAUUGCCCUAGUAACGGCGAGUGAAGCGGCAACAGCUCAAAUUUGAAAUCUGGCCCUCGGGU